rnacentral:rRNA from 1 species
CUUGGUCAUUUAGAGGAGUAAAAGUCGUAACAAGGUUUCCGUAGGUGAACCUGCGGAAGGAUCAUUAGUGAAUUAAACAUGCUUGGUGUCUUCGCUUCGGCAAGACCCUUGCUUAAAUCACAUCCUAACACCUGUGAACUGUAAGGCGUAUGAUAAAGCUUCGGCUGCAUCGUCGUCUGCCCUUUUUAACAAACAAUUAAUGUAACAAACGUAGUCUUAUUAUAACCUAAUAAAACUUUCAACAACGGAUCUCUUGGCUCUCGCAUCGAUGAAGAACGCAGCGAAAUGCGAUAAGUAAUGUGAAUUGCAGAUUUCAGUGAACCAUCGAAUCUUUGAACGCACCUUGCGCUCUUUGGUAUUCCGAAGAGCAUGCCUGUUUGAGUGUCAUGAAAAUAUCAACCUUGACUUGGGUUUUGUGCUCGAGUCUUGGCUUGGAUGUGGGUGCUUGCCGCUUUAACGAGCGGCUCACCUUAAAUGUAUUAGCUGGAUCUGUCUUUGAGACUUGGUUUGACUUGGCGUAAUAAGUAUUUCGCUAAGGACAUUCUUCGGAAUGGCCUCGUUUCUGGGACGCUUGUCCGCUUUCCAAUACAAGUUCCAUUCGUGGACAUGACUUUUUAUUAUCUGGCCUCAAAUCAGGUAGGACUACCCGCUGAACUUAAGCAUAUCAAUAAGCGGAGGAA